CCCCCACAUUCCUGGACCUUGAGCAUUCCUCAAGUAGGAAGAUGUAAUGCACCUUGACCUCUUUCUAAAUAAGACACUUCCCCAAAUAAGGGGAGUUGAGAGUGAACAGUCUUCACGUCUCCACCCACUUCCAGAUUCCAGAGGAGACAGACAUCGGAUGGCUGAAGAAAUUGUUACAGGCCACUGUGAGAGCAGCCACAAGCACCACAUACUCCUGGAAGUCCACCUCCCCGUCUCCAUUCUCGUCUAGCUCCUUCAUCACCUUGUCCACAGCAUCCACAUCCUUCUGGGCCUGUGGUGGGAGAAGAGGAAGAGGGAGGUGUAUAGGAAGGGGUACAGUACAGAGUCAGAGGCAAGGGGGUGGUUGAGGAGCAGGAGGCAAAGAUGAGCGAGAGGAACUGCACUGAAUUAUGGGACUCUUCUGGGCUUCCUCAAAACUCUUGAGGGCUCCUGUUGCCUACAGCAUAAACUCUUUCACCUGGCAGAAUGAAUAAUAAUGACACCAGUUACCGUAUGUUGAGUGCCUACAAUAAAGCAAGCACUAUACUAGGA
rnacentral:antisense_RNA from 1 species